AGAGUUUGAUUAUGGCUCAGGACGAACGCUGGCGGCGUGCCUAACACAUGCAAGUCGAGCGGGGACAUUGGAGCUUCGGUUCUGAUGUUCUAGCGGCGGACGGGUGAGUAACGCGUGAGCAAUCUGUCCCAUACAGGGGGAUAACAGCUGGAAACAGCUGCUAAUACCGCAUGAGACCACAAUGUCACAUGACGAAGGGGUCAAAGGAGCAAUCCGGUAUGGGGUGAGCUCGCGUCCCAUUAGGUAGUUGGUGAGGUAACGGCCCACCAAGCCGACGAUGGGUAGCCGACCUGAGAGGGUGAUCGGCCACACUGGAACUGAGACACGGUCCAG
rnacentral:rRNA from 1 species